ACCUCGUGAUCCACCCACCUCGGCCUCCCAAAGUGCUGGCAUUACAGGUGUGUGCCAUCAUGCUCGGCCUCUUAAUCCAUUUUACUGCUAAUAAUCUAGUUCAUGUUACCAUAAUCUCAGCUAUACUAUUGCAACUAGUCUCUCCUCCUUCUUCAUGCCCCAAUCUACUAUCCACACAGCAAUCAGCAUGAAGUUCUAAAAAUGUAAAUCAGUGUUACUUCCCUGCUUAAAACACUUGAGAACUUCUUAUUAUACUUGGGAUAGUAGAUAAACUUUUUCCUGUUAUUCUUUUUGUGAUUUGACCCUCAUCUACCUCUCUGAUGUCAUUUUGUAUCUCCUUUCUACUUGUUCACUAUGCUGUGGACUCAUUGACCUUUCAGCUCAGAAAAAUAUGGUGGCUAUUCUGCCUGUUCUUUUCUAAGGACCUUGUGCUCUGAAUUGUUUGUUGAUGUCUUUUUCUCCACAUAGUUUGUGUCUGUAUGUCUGGUUUCUGUUCAGAUAAUGUCUCCUAUGAGUAACUUUCCUUCCUAUCUCUGGUACAUUUAUUUUCUUUAUGUCAUUUUAUUACCAUUUGAAAUUUGAUUAGUUUCUGUCUCCUUCCCCAGAAUGUAUAAGCUCUUUGAGAGUGAUAAUUUUGUCUGUUUACUACUGUAAACUCAGAAUCUAGAUUAGGGCCUUGCUCAUGGUAGGCUGGCACAUGUCAAUUAUUGUUGCAUGCAUGAAUGAUUAUUGUUGCAUGAUAAACAAAUAAGUGGUUUUGUCUGUGUGGAGUAUCCUUCCUUCAUUUUUCUUUAGCACAUUGUUCGCGUUGUUUUCUUUGCAUACCUAGCACAUCAUUCCUCAUACAGCAUGUAGUGUACUGAACUACAGUUGGCAUUUUAUGGAAUGUCUCAUAUAAUAAGUGAUCUUUGUGAGAUUAGUGAUUACAGCUUAUUCAUGUUAGUAUCUGUGUUAUGUAUCAAAGUACCUACUCAGCAAUAGGACUCAAUUACAUGAAUUAAUGGAUGAAUUAUUCCAUUAGAAUUCAACCAUAAUGAAUUCAGAUAAUAGAGAAUCAGAGGAUUGGUUUUCUGAAAUCAGAUUCUAUCCUGCCAAUACUGAUCUUACUGAUCUGAUCCUGUCUAAAUUACCAUAUAUCUAAAAGGAUGCAGGAUAUAAGCAUUCUCUGCAUCUAUAGAUUCAACAAGAGGCAUGACUCAUCCAGUCCAGAGUAAGAGCUGCAUGAUAUUUAGACAAAGCCCUCUGAAAAUAAUGGAGACAAUCAAUAAUGCUGUAUUUCUUUCAGCCCGCCAUGUCUUAGGGAUAUACAAUGCAGCAAUGCAAAGAGUACUGAGUAAUCUCAAAGAAGGCACAUUACUGUCUUCAAUUUCCUUCUCUAUUAGAGAAUCGUAUGGUUACAGGGGACCUAAAAUAACUUUUUUACAAAGCCAAGCAUCCCGUAGUGUUAUGCUGAGUACAUCCCUAGAUUUCCACCUUAGUUUAUGAUAAAUAGGAAUAGUUGGAUGGAUUCCCUCGUACUCAGUUCACCAACAUACAUGUAGGAUGUUGAGUGAAGUAGUGGCAGGAUACUAAAGGUCAGGAGAGUGGCCUUUUAUACCUGUUAAAGAUCCCUGCUCAGGAGAAGCCACCCUUUGUGAAAUGGUCUGAUUCAUCAUAUUCUGAUCCACCCAUAUCUCCACUGUUCUUUCUUUGUUGUUUAUUUCCUAAAUUCUUCAAGUACUAAUUUCUGCUUGUUUUAGCAGCUUGCAGAUUUAGGUUGACAUUAGUCCUAGCUAGCAUAAAUUUUACGGAAGAAUCUCUUUGGAAAUCAUAGCCUCCUUAUGUACAUCUGUCAUCUUUUAUACUUUCUUAUAUUUCCCUUAUUGACCUAACAAAUGCUUGAGGCAUAUGUGCUGAAGAGCAAUGAUCCUUGAACUGAGGUAGUAGAAUAUGCAUGUGUAAGAGAGAUCUGAAAUCCAAAAUAGGUGAAGAGUUUUGGAGAGUUCCCAGCUAGGAUUUAAUCUCAUGUAGUUUGUUACUGUGAAUUCCAUAUCUGAUUAUUAUAGAAAUAUGCCUGGGAGAUAAUGAACUGCUACCUGUGGUCUUUGAUAUAUUGUUAUAAAUGGAAAUGAGAGGAUAUUGGAGGUUGGCAAAUUUAGUUGAUUAUGCCAAAUUGAGAAGUGAGGUCUACUUUUCUUUUUUUAUCAUGGUUUUUAACCCAGAAUAUCAAACGUAUGCUGCAUACUCUGCCUCGGUGAACCUUGAGACAGUGUGUUUACUCCUAUAGUCAGGCCUCUAACUCUGCAGGAGACUCUCAUAGAGAUUCUCAGUAACUAUGCAGGAGAUUCUCAACCCUGGACUUUUUGUUUCUAGUCAUUUGUGUCUCACUGCAUAUACAAUCUCUCCACUUGGUUACUUAGAUACUUAGAUAUCCCCAUCAUCUCAAACUGGUCCCAUUAUAAUACUUUCCCCAGAUGUAUAAUAUUUCUUCUAUUGUUUCCUAUCACCCAUCAGUGACAUUAUUUUGUGUCUCAGACUAAGGACUCUAUAGUCAUUCUUUAUUUCUCCCCUUUCUUCAUCCUCACACUCACAUGACCACCAUAUUUUGUCAGUUUUACUGCAGAUUUAUCUCCUGGAUCUAAGCCUCCUCUUUGUCCUCGGCAUGGCUUGUUUUAUUCUGGCUCUGGCUACCUUGUAUCUGGAUUAUUUCCAGAAUUUUUCUAAUGAGUCUUUUUCUACCAUCAUGAUAUCUUCAUAUCAGUCCUUCUCCUACAUUGCUGCAAGAGUCAUCUUUCUAUAAACAAAUAUUAUCAUGUAAUUUUCUUGCCUUAAAGCUCCUGGUAAGCUCUCCUUUGUCUAGAAUAAAUUUCAAAUUUCUUACCUUGGCUUGCAAGCCUCCUGAAAAUCGGACAUUAAAGUUGAAUUUUUUAGUCUUUUCUACUACCACUUGUCUUUUAUGGAAUUGUUCCUUUGCAUGUUAACAACAGUCGUUGAUUAUUUCUUAUCUAAUUAAUGUCUUUGCACAUGCUAUUUCCUCUGCCAUUUUUCUUCUCCACCAGACAAGCUUUCUUAUAAAUCCUAUAAGAUCUGGUGGGAAAUCUCAUCUGCUUUAUGAUACUUUUUGUGACGUUCUCUGCAGCUUAAGCAAUUCCUUCUAGUGAAGUUACUUGCAUUCAAGUAGGGCUCUUCCAUAGCUCCUGUCACAUCAUGUUAUAAUUGUUUGUUCAUUGCCUGUCAGCCACCAUCCCUUUCACCUGGCCCCCAUCUCUAUGCCAGUAGGCAUGAUUAAUAUUUUGUGAGCAAUAAUCUUUAAUGGUUUGGGACCUUUCGGGAAGGCACAGAUGGUCCUCCUCUUGGAGCCACAAUGUACAUUAGCCUAUUAAGGGUGCUGACUCUGAGAAGGUCUGUAGAACUUAAGACCCUGUGUUUAACCAGGGUUUCCCAAAUAUUUUUAACCAGGGAACUCUUCUUUUGAAGAACAUCUAUUAUUAGUCAAGGAAUUCAGUAUGGGAAAUGUUCUGCAUCAAAUACUCGCUAAAGCAUUAAAAAAUGAUAGUCAAAAAGCCAUUUUUGCUUAAUUGUCAGCAUUAGCAUCUUUAUCGCUCCUUAUUUCUUCUCUUUUCCAGAGGCUUUUAUUAUUUUAUUACUCCAGCCACCUAGUUGGAGUAUGAUAUGGGUAAUGUAUGAUAUGGGUAAUGCCCUCAGAGGACUGGUACCCUGGGUUCUGUUUUUACAAUGGAUAGGCUUCCAAAUCUUACUGAUUCAUGGGGGCUAACAGCUUGUAAGGUAAUUAGCUAUUAUGUUGAAGGACAAUUUCUUUGAAUAUAUGUAGAUCACCAUUUUAAUCAGUGACUUGAAUAACAGUGUGAAUUGAUGGCAGAUAUGUUAUAGGUAAGAUUCAGGAUGCAUGAAGAAGGUUUUAUAGGCUGGAAUGAAAUGGUGGGAAAAUCUAGAAGAAAUAACUUUAAUAGUUGUAUAAAAAAGUAUCCUGGGCUGCGAACCUCUACAUAACUAGAAUAAUCACUGAAAUACAGUUCCAAAAGUCCUUCAAGUGUGGACUUGUGUCAGCAAUGAUGCACUUUUAUGCUGAACCCAUAGAUUCCUCAAUUAAUGCUGAUCUUGUGGUGGUGACGACUGGCUCAGUGUCUCCAUCAGCAUUUUAAAUCUUUUAUUGGUGUGAACUGCUUUUACAAUUUCCUAUAGUUUUCCAGGAAUUCAUCUCUAUUUUAAGAUUCCUCAAACAACUUGGGGCAAAUUCUUCCAAGGCUUGAUCAGACAUGUUAAAUGACAUUCCCAGUAGUGGUAAGCAUAUGAGUGAAAUUAUGUGGAAGACGUGCCUUUUGAGUUUUGACUGCUUCAGGUUGAAUUUUUUUCUCCUCUGGGGUACUUUUAAGGGGUUAGAGGGUUUUGCUGUCUCCCUUUCUUCAAAAUUUUUGAUCUACAUGACCUGGAAUCAAACUUUUUCCCACUUAUUACUCUUUCUUUGUUGGAACCCAUUAGUACUCAUGCAAAGUGUGCUCCUGUCAGCUAAAAUAACUAUCACUGAAUUAUGCAUAAUUCAUUUGUAGUAUGGGUACAUUUCAACUAAUAUUUGUAUUUUUCUUAUGCAAUUUAUAUAUUUUUUAAAAAAACCUUUUAAGGUAAGUAUACAUGAUUGGGUUGACUUAAAUAACACAAUCAUCAUUAUAUUGGUAUGUUUCUUGAAUAGAGCAGGCCAGCCUCCAGGCAGAGUCUGGCUCACUUGAGUUUGCUUCCUGGCUCUUCCAUUUACUGUUGUAUGACCUUGGGCAAUUACUUAGCUUUUCUUAGUCUGUUUCCUCAUCAUCAAAGUAAGGAUGAUAAUGCCUAUUUUAAAGGCUGUUGAAGUAUUAAGUAAGCUAAUUAUGUCAAUUAUAGGACAUAUUGUGUAACAUUUUAGUUACAUUAAAACUCAUAGCUAUUAUUAUAUAAUUAUCAGAGUUUAGUUAUCGUCCUAUUAUUGGCUAUAUUAAUUGUGCGAACUUUUGUACUUGUAUGUAUUUCCAGUAAGAGAGCUUCUGGGAAUGUAAAUGUCUUUUUCUUUUUCAGGGAUUUUUUUCUUAGUGGUUAUCUCCUUGGAGGCCUCAUGAAGAAGGAUGUGGGUUCUGUAGGGUACAGUGUGAUCUUGGUCCUGCAUAAUCUCCUUUCUAAACUUCAGAAAAUCAUGUACCUUGGAGUUGUGGAGGCAUGUUUAGAAGCAGAUCUGAGUUUUGCCACACUGGAAUUUAUUUAUUCAUUGAACAAAUGUUUGAUACCUACUACAGUUCUCUCUUUAGCUGGACAUGGAUGAAGCUGGAAACCAUCAUUCUCAGCAA